UUUUCUCUCUCUACGAAGAAAUCGUCGAUUUUGCUCAUUUUCGUCGCCGCGCUUGUUCUUCGCUGUUUGCGAGCGUCGCAGAGCUUAUGUGGACGCGUGAGAGAGUAUUUUGGAAGGCUUUUCGCAGCCCUGAACCAGUAGCUCACUGGUGGGAAGUCUGAGAAGCAGGUUUGCGAAUCUUAUUAAGCUAUCUUAGUGACCUGGGAGGCUGGUUUAGAAGGUACUCUAACCUAAGCAAGAGUGCGACUGAGCCUUGGAUCAUCGUUCGUUGACUUGUGAGAGCUCUUGGAGACGUCUCUUGAGCAGCAUUGGGGCUUCGUUAAGCCGUUGUGGGACUUCUUGUGGAUAAUCGGAGCCUAGUACUAGAGCCUGUUACAGGAGAGGCUAGGGAUCGUG